rnacentral:antisense_RNA from 1 species
ACUGACAUCAAUGAUUCAUUCUGCGAACCAUGGCCUACAGCAAGAUAGGAGUGCAUUCCCAACUCUUUCAUUUGCUGCUCACCAAUCACGCGAGUGAUGAUAUUGGUGCUGAAUGCAUCGGCUAACUGGCGUGCUUGUGAAGCCAGAUAGGCGGCAUUACAAAUAUUUGGCGGCAUAUUGCCCAAGUCUUUCGC